GACGAACGCUGGCGGCGUGCUUAACACAUGCCAGUCGAACGGAAAGGCCCUGCUUUUGUGGGGUGCUCGAGUGGCGAACGGGUGAGUAACACGUGAGUAACCUGCCCUUGACUUUGGGAUAACUUCAGGAAACUGGGGCUAAUACCGGAUAGGAGCUCCUGCUGCAUGGUGGGGGUUGGAAAGUUUCGGCGGUUGGGGAUGGACUCGCGGCUUAUCAGCUUGUUGGUGGGGUAGUGGCUUACCAAGGCUUUGACGGGUAGCCGGCCUGAGAGGGUGACCGGCCACAUUGGGACUGAGAUACGGCCCAGACUCCUACGGGAGGCAGGAGUGGGGAAUAUUGCACAAUGGGCGGAAGCCUGAUGCAGCAACGCCGCGUGCGGGAUGACGGCCUUCGGGUUGUAAACCGCUUUCGCCUGUGACGAAGCGUGAGUGACGGUAAUGGGUAAAGAAGCACCGGCUAACUACGUG
rnacentral:rRNA from 1 species